CACGCCCAUUUCACAAGACAUCUCGGGUCCCUCAAUCUCUCUACCCAAACCAAAGAAGAAUGAAGACAGAAAACAAAACGUUUCUAACAGAAACCCCAAACAAAUCAAAUCAAACAGCCAUUAAUUUAGCUAUCUGAAUCCCUAAAAAUCACAAAGAGGAAAACGAUAGAAAAGAACUCGAAUAGCCACCACUCACCCUUGUUCAUUUUCAAAAUCAAUGGAACCCGCACAAUAUUCUCCCCUAGUGAUCUUCACAAUACUGAAAAUGGCACCCUGUUAGGAUCAGAAAUCCAACACCAAUGCAUACACAUACGCCUAACUCUGUGGAGGCCAAUCGACAGUGCUUCCUCUAUCCGAUACCUUGGAUUCGAAAAUCGACGACUCUCUCUGGCCAGUGCAUGUGCAACAACGUUGGCUUGUCGUCCCACCAAAAGAAAGGUCUUUCCAUAACUCUCGAAAGUUUCUCGUGUGCCACUUUACAUUGACACUUAAAGUUAUCCAUGUAACUUUUCUCAAGGAAAGUAGCAUGAGUAGAAAUUUUAAUUGUAUUAUUUUUUGAAUUUUAGAAUAAUUUACUCUUUUUUUGUAACAGUCCAUUUUCAGUGGUUUCAGGACCCCAAAUUUGACGAGUAAGUUCGUAAAUAUUGAUGUGAAUUGUUAUAAUUCAAUUUAAUGUAUAUGAUAAGUAUUGAUGUGAGAA